CAAAUACUUACGCGUUCGAGUCCAUUUCGUAGUCUUUCGCCUUGGUGACGUGUUUUCGUCGACACCGACAAAAGAGGAAUAACCGCGCGGCGAAC